rnacentral:lncRNA from 1 species
GUCCUCUUAUACCUUUACUGUCUCGAUCCAGGCAAGCUGCUUCUAACAAUUGUUAGUAAUCUCAAUCCUUGGAUAGCUGGAAUCUUGAAGGAGGGAGGAAGUAAUUAGUGCUUUUCAGGAUGUUGGAGAAGUGCCACCGAAUGUUUGUAUUCAUUUCUCCAUUCCAGUGUCCUGAAAGCCAAACAGGAGUUCCAUGAACUAAGCAUUGCUCCCAUUCACUUAACAGUAGUCUUCUCAAUUCCAUAAUAGGUAGAAUCAACACUAAUUCAAAGAAGUCUUGCUUGCUCUAGAAAACACUGUUUUACUUCUUCAGACCAGGAGAAAAUGGUGUUUAGGGCUUCCCUGGUGGCUCAAAUGGUGAAGAAUCCACGUGCAAUGCAGGAGACCCAGGUUCAAUCCCUGGGUCAGGAAGAUCCAUCCCCUGGAGAAGGGAAUGGCAACCCACUCCAGUAUUCUUGACUGGAGAAUUCCAUGGACAGAGGAGCCUGGCAGACUACGGUCCACAGGGUCACAUAGCGUCAGACACGACUGAGCCACUAACUGUUUCACCCUUUCUCCUUUCAGGGCUGUGACUAGAGGUUUUAUCUGGCUGUCCUCCUAGCCAGUACAGCACAGACUUCGCAAUUCAUAUGAGAAACAGGGACAGCAAUUGACACUCAUGUGACUGUGAGGAUUAAAUAAAGUGAGUUUCCAGGAGCAUGAGGAGUCUGAGAAUCCUUCAGUCAAACUUGGAUGAUGAUCCAUCACAUACACACAUGUUUUAAUACCCCGAGCAGAGAAGCCACACAGGAGGACCAACUGCUUGGCAUGGAGCCAUUCCCUCCCACCUGAUAAUGCUUUUUAAACACCCUCUGUGUGAGGCUCCACUGGGACUGUGUCAAAGCUGCACUGGAGCUUCUAGCAGUAUCCGGUGCUGGCCUUUCUGGAACCUGUCAGUCUCCGUGCGUUACCCUCGCUGUUCUCUGUGUCUGAAACGUCCUGCUCAUUAAUCUCAGCUUUGAGUCAAGACUCAAACAUUACUUUCUGGAUAACGGGCCACUCUCCUUUCACUCCCAGCAUAGGCAGGUAAGGCAAUCCUCUGAUUGUAUUUGCUGGUUGGUCUGCAUGUGUG